GCGGGCGUGGCGGAAUUGGCAGACGCGCUAGCUUCAGGUGCUAGUGGACUUCGGUCCGUGGAGGUUCAAGUCCUCUCGCCCGCACCA
rnacentral:tRNA from 1 species